GCAGCUUUCAUGUGCAGUACUCUAAAUUAUGCCUUUGUCUCAUUUGUUCUCCUUUGAAUUGCUCCCAGUGACCAGGGGAACAGUGGUACCUCAUACAUAACUCUAGCAGACCACGCAGAAGGGUGAGCAAGCUUCCUACACACUUUGUUUUAGCUUUCAUCACUAUCAGAAUUGGUUUUGUUCAUCCCAUUCAACCAGCAAGUGUGCAUCCAUCAUUCACCUGUAAAAACAGCCAUGAGAUAGUGGAACAGUUUAAAGCUUGUGAAAAAAGCAAGUCCCAUGAGAGUGAUGCUGCCUGCAGGUGGACAGACAUUUAUGGGUGUGGAUGGCAGCAAUGGAGGAUAAGCUGAGGUACUCAGAGACUCCCGGGGGCAGGUCAGCAGGCAGAUGGAAGUGAGACCAUGAAUAUUCCUGCCUUGGUAGGUGUUCAUAGCUCAGAGGGAUAAUUCUGAGGU
rnacentral:lncRNA from 1 species